rnacentral:misc_RNA from 1 species
AUUUUUUUCUAUGACCGCCUUAUAAAUUUCUUUCUAUCUUUAGGCUUGCUCUUCUUGUGUUUCCCUAAUAGCACUGACAGCCAUAUUAUAUACAGUAUAGUCGCUCGCUGCUCAGCUCUAACAUUCGUUCCCGUCUCCGUCUUUUACCAAUCCUUCAAACCCUCUUACGUGCUGUGGGUUCCUUCUGCAAAAGAUUCAUUAUUCUUUCUCUCUAGAUUCAAUCAAAUCUUGAAGGGUUUUGAUCGCUUUUCUCGGAGCUGCCAGCUUACCUAUCUAUAACCAACAGCAGCAAGAGAUUGGUGUGUUUCAUUUGUCAACGCUAGUAUAGAGAAAGUCAUGGUGAGUCCAUUUGGGCAAAUGGGCAAUCGGGAUUUAGGUCCGCCGUGGUUGAGACCAAUGCUCAGGGCAAGCUACUUCAUCCCUUGUGCAGUUCAUGGGGAUUCUAAUAAAAGUGAAUGUAAUAUGUUUUGUUUAGAUUGUAUGGGUAAUGCCUUAUGUUCUUAUUGUUUGAUCCAUCACAAAGAUCAUCGAGUUGUUCAGAUAAGGCGGUCUUCAUACCAUAACGUGGUGAGGGUGAAUGAAAUACAGAAGUAUAUUGAUAUAUCCUGUGUCCAGACUUACAUUAUCAAUAGCGCCAAAAUCGUGUUCCUAAACGAGCGGCCUCAGCCAAGGCCAGGAAAAGGCGUCACCAACACUUGCGAGAUUUGUUGCAGAAGCCUCCUCGAUUCCUUCAGAUUCUGCUCUCUUGGAUGCAAGGUUAUUUCUCUUUUCCAAUGUCCUUUUCCCUUUUCUAAUUUUAUUCAUGUUUCUCGCUUGCCUACUUUGCGUUCAAGUUACAAGUUCCAUUCUUUCUUUUAACUGGUGGCUCAAAUUACAUCAAUCUUGCCGUAUUUGACUUCAAUUUAUUUAUUUUUUUAAAUAAAUUUUUUGAUUUCGCGAAAUGUAGGUUGUGACAUAUUUCGUGUUUGAAUGAUCUGUGGAUCUCUCUGUUUUGUUCUUGCCUUGUUCUCACCUGCUCUGUUUUGACAGUCUAUUGAGGGCUAGAUUACUAAAUGCGCAAUUACAUUUUUCUUUUUUCAGCUGGGAGGCUUGAAGCGUGGUGACCCAGACCUCACAUUUACACUGAGGAUGAAGCACAAUAGGGAUCCAUUCCUUGGUGGGUCUGAAUCCGAUGAGUCUUCUACCCCAAAGAAGAUUAGAAAGACGCAUGCUUUCAACCGUUUGAUGGAUGGACUUUCAAUAUAUUCAUCAGACGGGCAUAGCAAUGAUUUUAGCUCAGGUGAUGAGGCGACUGCCAACCUUUCUCCAUCUACUCCUCCCAUUUAUAAUCACCGCAAUGCAAGGAGAAGAAAGGGUAUCCCUCAUCGUGCUCCAUUUUGAGUUUUCUCAAAAAAUUGAAAAAAAAAAAUAAAAAUAUAUUAAAAAAAAAUAUAUGGGAAGUUGGCAAUAAUGUCUAGUAUGUAGUAAAAGAUGACAUAUAAGAAAAAGGAAGAAAAAAAAGGAUUGCUAUAGUGUUGAGUUUCUUGUGUAAAUAGUAGAAAAGACAUCAAGGGAAAUAGUCCCUUCAUAUAAUAUAUUAAUUAGUGGUGGGGACUUAUUUUCUGGUUUAGAAAACUUAGGUUAUAUUGAAAAAAUGGGCAUGUAUUAUGAUGACAUAUGGGUAUUAGGUGGUCGGAAAGAAGGUAAUAAUGGAAUGGCAUUUUGAUGGGUUAUGUACAGAAGAGAAGAAUGUGUUUUGUCCAUAUGAUAUAGAUAAUGAUGUUUUCAAGUAAAAUACUUUGUGCUCACCUAUAUAUUCUCUUGAUGAAUUUAUGCUUUUGAUUGACUGGAUAACAUGAGUUUGGCAGUUUACUUAUUUUAGGGAUGAAUUUUGCAAAUUUGCAAUGUGGUUUAAUUUACGUAAUUAGAAAUGGGAAAGGGGACCAGCUCAGAAGGUUAAAUUGAUGAGAAUAAAACUUUAACUCCAAAUAGACUCACUCCAACUGAGUGAGUUGAAUUGAAUUCAAAUUGAAAUCAAGAUUAAAAUCAAAAUUGAAGGUAUGGUAAACUUGGGGGCCAAGGUCGAACUCUGAUUUACACAAACCCACCAAUGAUGCAAUGUGGGGUUAUGGGUUUGCGUUCACGUAGAGUCGAUGUGAG